GCUUACGGCCAUACCAACCUGGCUAUGCCCGAUCUCGUCUGCUCUCGGAAGCUAAUCAGGUUUGGGCCUGGUUAGUACUUGGAUGGGAGACCGCCUGGGAAUACCAGGUGCUGUAAGCU
ensembl:rRNA 5S_rRNA 5S ribosomal RNA